GGCUGAUCCAAGUGCAAUGGUAUUUACAACUAAUUGAUCACAACCAGUUUCUAGAUUUCUUUGUUCCUUCUCCAUUCCCACUGCUUCACUUGACUAGUCUUGA
ensembl:Y_RNA Y_RNA Y RNA